GGUGGACAUCAACAAAAUGGCAGUGUGUUGGGUGAUUCGUCAUAUAUCUUAUCGCGUGCUCAAAAGCAACUCACUGCGUACCGUCCAACUUCAUCCCCUCCUUAUCCACCGAGAAUUCACAGAAUUUCCCUGUGCCACAGUGCGGGAUCGAUUGGAUAUGAAAGGAUCAAAAUAAUUCAGUCCACCGGUUGAGGGAUAUAUUGCAACAUUAUUAAAUUGUCUUUUUUAGA